rnacentral:lncRNA from 1 species
AGAUAUGGUAACAUGAAUCAAGGUGCAAAUAGUACUCAGCCUAGAGCUAUGGGUCGAACGCUCCAAUAUCGGCGAAAUGGAGGACCUUCUAGGGUUAAUGGAGGACCUAAUGUGCCUUAUGGAGGCCCCAUCGGACCUAAUGGACCUAAUGGAAAUACGGUGAUGAAUACAAUGGUGCAGAGUUUGUGUCAAGGCUUUGCGAUGAACAUGCUCAUUAGCGGUGGUGGUGAUGUUAACGGUGGA